AUACUUCAGCUCUUCAAGGGUUAACAGUCUACAGUAAAAGGCUUCAAUAGUAACAGUCUACGUCCAGUACUAAGUAUUAAAAAAUAGUAACAGUCCACGUCCAGUACUAAGUAUUGAAAUUAAGUAUGAGGGGUCAUUUCGAAAGACACUGCUUCGAGUUUGGUUGUGGUGAAGGGCCGGGACCUCACCGGAAAAUGCACGGGCCGUGUCACGGUCCAGGUCAUCACGGACCCCCUGGAUUUGGACCUUGGGGUCACCAUGGACAUCAUGGACAUCAUGGACACCAUGGGCAUCACGGUCACCACGGUCACGGACCAUGGGGUCGGAAGCAUCACGGACACGGAGGACCUUUCGGCCACCACGGGCACGGACCUUUCGGCCAUCACGGACCGUUCCCCUGGUCUCAUCACGGAUUUGGACCAAAACCACCACAUCACGGUCACGGACAUCACGGCCCAGGCCCACACGGUCCUCACGACAAAUUCGAGCGUCACGGUCUUUUCAACUUCAUGUGGUCAAAGCCUGGUAAAGACUGCAGUGACAGAUGCACCCGUGGAAGGAACCCUCCCAGCCCUGCAGAGGAAACCAGACCUUGCUGCUCGAAGGAUAAGAACCAACCUGAAGCGACGAUAUUUGUGAGAAAGAUUGUGAUGGACAAAGAACCGAGAUGUUAUUCUGUUUGAAGUGAUGACAGACAGAAUCACUUUGAAUCAGUAUAUUAUCGAGGUUUUAAACCAAAAAAAGGAAUCAUGCACGCAUCAGGAUACGAAGAACCAUAGUUCUUGGCCAUAGCCAAGGCCAUGGGGCCAAUGGAGAAGAAUUUGAAGAAUAAAGAAGAUCCAGUCACAAGGAUAGAUAUUAGAAGAUGUAUCUACAAAUAAAGGAUGCACAGGAUAAAAGUGAAGAAAUGGAGUUCAUUAAGCAUUUAACCAAUAAAUAUAAAAUUGAAAACU